UCCGUGAUGAUUUGUUAGGGUUUGUUAGCUGUUAGGGUUUUGGCAGGUCAAAUUAAGCUGUGCCGCGCUAUGCCGAUCGGGCGUCCACGCCAAGUCCGGCAUCGACAUGGGGAGCCAGGGGGAGCCCUGCGCUCUCCAGGUCGCCUAAAGAGGGACGAAACGGCCCAGGCCGGCAACGGAGCAGGUUAAAGUCCCCGUGCCGAUCAGUGGUGGGAUAUCGGCUGUGAAUAGACGGUACAGAGCAGCCCGGCCGAUAGGCCCCCCACUACCACA
rnacentral:SRP_RNA from 1 species